rnacentral:tRNA from 1 species
UUGUGGCUCAGUGGUAGAGCACUCACCUGAUGUGUGUGAGGCCCUGGGUUUGAUCCUCAGUAA